AUGGACCUACGCCUACGGCAUAUCUCAUCUUCUCCUGCUACUCGUGCCCUGUUUCACGUGUCUCGUGUACUACACGACAGCAGGGAAAAAAAGAACAUAGCUGCAUAUUGUAUGAAGGAUGAUGCGGUGAAUCAGGUUAUGAUUUGUGUGGGUGAAGACUUAAAACACCCACCCAAUCACCAACGGAUCGAGGGUUCUAUGGCCAAGGUUGUAGCUGCUGUGUUGAUCAUCCUUGGUUUGGAACUGGAAUUCCGACACUGGUCGCCGAGUUUGUACGAGGCGAAAUGCCCAACAAUGGCUAGUAAUAAAGCCUUGCUUUAA
rnacentral:rRNA from 1 species